AGACCCGAAACCCGGUGAUCUAGCCAUGGGCAGGUUGAAGGUUGGGUAACACUAACUGGAGGACCGAACCGACUAAUGUUGAAAAAUUAGCGGAUGACCUGUGGCUGGGGGUGAAAGGCCAAUCAAACCGGGAGAUAGCUGGUUCUCCCCGAAAGCUAUUUAGGUAGCGCCUCGUGAAUUCAUCUCCGGGGGUAGAGCACUGUUUCGGCUAGGGGGCCAUCCCGGCUUACCAACCCGAUGCAAACUGCGAAUACCGGAGAAUGUUAUCACGGGAGACACACGGCGGGUGCUAACGUCCGUCGUGAAGAGGGAAACAACCCAGACCGCCAGCUAAGGUCCCAAAGUCAUGGUUAAGUGGGAAACGAUGUGGGAAGGCCCAGACAGCCAGGAUGUUGGCUUAGAAGCAGCCAUCAUUUAAAGAAAGCGUAAUAGCUCACUGGUCGAGUCGGCCUGCGCGGAAGAUGUAACGGGGCUAAACCAUGCACCGAAGCUGCGGCAGCGACGCUGAUGCGUUGUUGGGUAGGGGAGCGUUCUGUAAGCCUGCGAAGGUGGCCUGUGAGGGUUGCUGGAGGUAUCAGAAGUGCGAAUGCUGACAUAAGUAACGAUAAAGCGGGUGAAAAGCCCGCUCGCCGGAAGACCAAGGGUUCCUGUCCAACGUUAAUCGGGGCAGGGUG
rnacentral:rRNA from 1 species